GGGCAUUGAAAGGACAAACUGGUGGCUGACUGCAGUCAUGUAGGAUGUGUCAAGAGAGAGCUUUAAGUGGGGAACCAUAGAGCACAGAGAGAAAUAAUAUUACGAUCAAAAGGAUGACUUAUUCCUGACCUUAGGAAUAUUACAGCUUAAGGGAAAAGACAUGCCAACAGAACUGUGAGAUCAGACUGGUAACUGUGAAUCAGAGCUCAUGACCUGAAAUGGGUAAGGUGAUCUGAAUUGAGAUGUUAAAUCGCAAGACAGAACAAUUGAAAUCCUACUGGAAGACAGGGGACCCCACAGAAAAUAGAUGUGCUCUAGGGGCAAUGAACCAGUCCUCCACUACACUAGACACUGACUGCAGGUACAAGAGUGAGCCCAGCUGAGAGCAUCUGCGCCUGGCACAGACCAGCAGUACAAUGAUCUGAGCCCAAGGCAAGAAGAGUUCAUUCUCAAAUCUUUACUGUGAUAGCUUGGUGGGGAAUUUGGAAGUAAAACCCAUGGAAGUUGAAGGACUCCCUAUUCUGCAGUCCACGGGUUUUUCUCACUCUCAUGGUACUCCACACUCAGCUUCUGGUAACUAAGAUGUUGCCAUAGUAGGAAGACCCUAGGCUCAUCUUAUUCCUGGAAAACGACUAAAUAACUAUCAAAUCAUUGUGAAUACCCAAGAAAUUGACCUGAGAACUGACCGAACAAACUGCACAACUACAGGGAGAGAAGAAGCCACAUCUAGGAGCAUGUGACCAACUUGGAGUAUGAGAAGAAUUUACCAGAACCCACUCUUCCCAAAGAAUUAAGCAAGACAUGUGAGAUGCAGAGGUGAAUAAAAUUAAGUGGUAUCUGAGGAAUUUACAGUUCCUAUCUCCAUGGGAGAUCGGAAAAGCACAUAGACAAUUGCAAAUCACACAAAAUAAGCAAGUUUGCUAAAUGAUAUUGAAGCAAUAGUCAGGAGAUGUGAAAAAAUCAA